UUUUGUUGGACUCCGGAGGAAUAAUAAUCCCUGCCUUCCUAUAACUUCCAGUCCCAGUGGGGAAGACAGAAAGAUAUUAAAUAAGUGUCCAAAAAAUAAAACUGCUUCUGUGACUAUGAAGCAAAGGAAAAGAGGUGUGAAAUGAAGCUGGAAAAAGUAGGUAGCAGGCUAUUAGGAAAUGAAAGGGACUUUGAUUUGAUCAGUGUUUAUCUCAAAAUUUUUUUGUUUUGUUUUUAAAAUUGAUUAAUAUUGCUUGAUUUUUAACUAUUAAUUUUAUGGUUACUUUCUACUAAUGACAAAUGUUUCUUCCACUGACAUAAACUGUAAGAGUUAAAAUAUAUAUUCAGGUGCGAAAAACAGGUAUCUGACUAAAAAUGAUUUAAACUGCAAGGACAUUUAUUUACCUCAAUUAACAAUUAGUCUGAAGACAAACAGUACCAAGUUUGGUAUAGCAACUCAAUGAAGGAUGUCUGCCAAUCUCAGCAUACAGCAUAUCAGCCAUGUCUCCUAUACAUGGUUGUAAGGUGGCCUGCAGCAGCUCUAAGAAUGACAUCCUUAUACAGGAAAUAAAGAGCUGGAACUCUCCUCAGAAGAAGAAAACAGAAGAAAAAUUUUCUCAGAGGUGCUUCCAGCAGACCCUUUAGGUCCCACUGUGAGAAAAGGGUUAUACUCCUCUGCCUGACCUGUCAAAGAGCCUUAGAAAGUAAUGCCUGGCAUUUUUCUGAUCCUCUAGCAGAACAUGGUAUCUACUUGGCAAGAAGAUAAGUGGGGAAGGUGGGAGAAGCUACUAAACAGUCAGUAUGUUUCUUGUACGCAUAAUAAUAUGAAGCUUCUUUUCAUAGUACAUUUAAGG